UGGGGAAUUUUGGACAAUGGGCGCAAGCCUGAUCCAGCCAUGCCGCGUGAGUGAAGAAGGCCUUCGGGUUGUAAAGCUCUUUCGGCCGGGACGAAAUCGCGCUGGGUAAUAUCCAGCGUGGAUGACGGUACCGGAAUAAGAAGCACCGGCUAACUACGUGCCAGCAGCCGCGGUAAUACGUAGGGUGCGAGCGUUAAUCGGAAUUACUGGGCGUAAAGCGUGCGCAGGCGGUUUCGUAAGCCAGAUGUGAAAUCCCCGGGCUUAACCUGGGAACUGCAUUUGGGACUGCGAGGCUAGAGUACGGCAGAGGGAGGUGGAAUUCCACGUGUAGCAGUGAAAUGCGUAGAUAUGUGGAGGAACACCGAUGGCGAAGGCAGCCUCCUGGGCUAGUACUGACGCUCAUGCACGAAAGCGUGGGGAGCAAACAGGAUUAGAUACCCUGGUAGUCCACGCCCUAAACGAUGACAACUAGUUGUUGGGGAUUUAACAUCCUUAGUAACGCAGCUAACGCGUGAAGUUGUCCGCCUGGGGAGUACGGUCGCAAGAUUA
rnacentral:rRNA from 1 species